AGCAGCGUGGCUCAGUGGGAAAGAGCCCGGGCUUGGGAGUCAGAGGUCACGGGUUCGAAUCCCGGCUCUGCCA
rfam:Ornithorhynchus anatinus chromosome 5, whole genome shotgun sequence.